rnacentral:rRNA from 1 species
AUGUGCCCAUGGUAUGCUGUUUUUUUGAGACAAACCCAUGGUGUGGGAAUUGGAAUGGCCGAUGCUAGGCGCCGGCGCACCGGCCGAACAGUUUCGGCCGGUCCAGCCCUAGCCGUUCCAUGCGCGCAAUUAGGAGCCGUUCGAUCCCCCGUGUUGACUUCCCUUCUCCUUCUUCCUCUCCUCUCCCGGCCGCCGGCUGUCACCCCGUCACCUGGACCUCCUCUCUCCGCCCCCUCCCCCCGCUACUGGAUGCCGCACUCGUCACCGGUCGCCGCGCUCACCGCCGGUCUCCGCCGUCUUCUCUCAUGUUUCUCGCCGGGAUCCACAUGCAGCAAAAACUUCGCCCGUGGGUUGCAGCUCCCCUCGCUGGUGAUGGCCGCGGCUCCGGCAACGCCAGUCGCCGGUUGUAGCUCCAGCAGGUUGCAGUCCCGCGCCUCGCCGCUCGCAGUCCAGCGCCCCCGCCGGACCCCCUGA